rnacentral:misc_RNA from 1 species
CUGCAAACCAAAACGGGAAGAAGAAGAGACUGUUGAUAAUAAAUAGAUAUGUGUGUAAAAGAAUUUUGAGCUUGUGUAACUUAUGGUUGGUCAAUGCCAAACCCAUAACACAUGAGGCAUUACUAAAGUUGGUAAACUUUUCAUGUAAACUUCAAAGCGUAUUUUCUAAUUUAACAAGAUAGAUAAUCUGAGUUGAAACCUGACUCCAUGAUUAAAGAAUCACCAAUUGAAUAAUAUAGACAGCAU